UGCAGUCGAACGGGCAUAGCAAUAUGUCAGUGGCAGACGGGUGAGUAACGCGUGGGAACAUACCUCUUGGUUCGGAACAACACAGGGAAACUUGUGCUAAUACCGGAUAAGCCCUUACGGGGAAAGAUUUAUCGCCGAGAGAUUGGCCCGCGUCUGAUUAGCUAGUUGGUGUGGUAAAGGCGCACCAAGGCGACGAUCAGUAGCUGGUCUGAGAGGAUGAUCAGCCACAUUGGGACUGAGACACGGCCCAAACUCCUACGGGAGGCAGCAGUGGGGAAUAUUGGACAAUGGGCGCAAGCCUGAUCCAGCCAUGCCGCGUGAGUGAUGAAGGCCCUAGGGUUGUAAAGCUCUUUUGUGCGGGAAGAUAAUGACGGUACCGCAAGAAUAAGCCCCGGCUAACUUCGUGCCAGCAGCCGCGGUAAUACGAAGGGGGCUAGCGUUGCUCGGAAUCACUGGGCGUAAAGGGUGCGUAGGCGGGUUUCUAAGUCAGAGGUGAAAUCCUGGAGCUCAACUCCAGAACUGCCUUUGAUACUGGAAGUCUUGAGUAUGGGAGAGGUGAGUGGAACUGCGAGUGUAGAGGUGAAAUUCGUAGAUAUUCGCAAGAACACCAGUGGCGAAGGCGGCUCACUGG
rnacentral:rRNA from 1 species